UACGAAGGGGGCGAGCGUUGUUCGGAUUUACUGGGCGUAAAGGGCGCGCAGGCGGCGGCCCAAGUCAGGCGUGAAAGCCCCGGGCUUAACCUGGGAGGUGCGUCUGGGACUGGUUGGCUAGAGUUCGGGAGAGGAGAGUGGAAUUCCCAGUGUAGAGGUGAAAUUCGUAGAUAUUGGGAAGAACACCGGUGGCGAAGGCGGCUCUCUGGACCGAGACUGACGCUGAGGCGCGAAAGCGUGGGGAGCAAACAGG
rnacentral:rRNA from 1 species